rnacentral:rRNA from 1 species
UCGGGAAUUUUGGGCAAUGGGCGAAAGCCUGACCCAGCAACGCCGCGUAAGGGAUGAAGUAUUUCGGUAUGUAAACCUCGAAAGAAUGGGAAGAAUAAAUGACGGUACCAUUUAUAAGCUCCGGCUAACUACGUGCCAGCAGCCGCGGUAAUACGUAGGGAGCAAGCGUUGUUCGGAUUUACUGGGCGUAAAGGGCGCGUAGGCGGCGCGGUAAGUCACUUGUGAAAUCUCUGAGCUUAACUCAGAACGGCCAAGUGAUACUGCUGUGCUAGAGUGCGGAAGAGGCAACCGGAAUUCUUGGUGUAGCGGUGAAAUGCGUAGAUAUCAAGAGGAACACCUGAGGCGAAGGCGGGUUGCUGGGCCGACACUGACGCUGAUGCGCGAAAGCCAGGGGAGCAAACG